AGAUUACACAUAUUCCUGGAUUUAAAAGCAUUUAUAGGGUAGGUUUCCUGGACCCAGAUUACACAUAUUCCUGGAUUUAAAAGCAUUUAUAGGGUAGGUUUCCCGGACCCAGAUUACACAUAUUCCUGGAUUUAAAAGCAUUUAUAGGGUAGGUUUCCCGGACCCAGAUUACACAUAUUCCUGGAUUUAAAAGCAUUUAUAGGGUAGGUUUCCCGGACCCAGAUUACACAUAUUCCUGGAUUUAAAAGCAUUUAUAGGGUAGGUUUCCCGGACCCAGAUUACACAUAUUCCUGGAUUUAAAAGCAUUUAUAGGGUAGGUUUCCUGGACCCAGAUUACACAUAUUCCUGGAUUUAAAAGCAUUUAUAGGGUAGGUUUCCUGGACCCAGAUUACACAUAUUCCUGGAUUUAAAAGCAUUUAUAGGGUAGGUUUCCUGGACCCAGAUUACACAUAUUCCUGGAUUUAAAAGCAUUUAUAGGGUAGGUUUCCUGGACCCAGAUUACACAUAUUCCUGGAUUUAAAAGCAUUUAUAGGGUAGGUUUCCUGGACCCAGAUUACACAUAUUCCUGGAUUUAAAAGCAUUUAUAGGGUAGGUUUCCUGGACCCAGAUUACACAUAUUCCUGGAUUUAAAAGCAUUUAUAGGGUAGGUUUCCUGGACCCAGAUUACACAUAUUCCUGGAUUUAAAAGCAUUUAUAGGGUAGGUUUCCUGGACCCAGAUUACACAUAUUCCUGGAUUUAAAAGCAUUUAUAGGGUAGGUUUCCUGGACCCAGAUUACACAUAUUCCUGGAUUUAAAAGCAUUUAUAGGGUAGGUUUCCUGGACCCAGAUUACACAUAUUCCUGGAUUUAAAAGCAUUUAUAGGGUAGGUUUCCUGGACCCAGAUUACACAUAUUCCUGGAUUUAAAAGCAUUUAUAGGGUAGGUUUCCUGGACCCAGAUUACACAUAUUCCUGGAUUUAAAAGCAUUUAUAGGGUAGGUUUCCCGGACCCAGAUUACACAUAUUCCUGGAUUUAAAAGCAUUUAUAGGGUAGGUUUCCCGGACCCAGAUUACACAUAUUCCUGGAUUUAAAAGCAUUUAUAGGGUAGGUUUCCCGGACCCAGAUUACACAUAUUCCUGGAUUUAAAAGCAUUUAUAGGGUAGGUUUCCCGGACCCAGAUUACACAUAUUCCUGGAUUUAAAAGCAUUUAUAGGGUAGGUUUCCCGGACCCAGAUUUAGCCUCGUCCUAACACAUUAAACAUAGCUUCUUAGUUCAGGAUUAAAAAACUAUGUUAAUAUCUCCAUGUACACUAUGUAACAAAAUACAUGUACAAUUCUUCCUACUUUAAACAUUUAUCCGAUGAAGCUAAACUAUCCCUGUUUGAAAAGACAGGUCCUGCUC